UACGGAGGGGGGCUAGCGUUGUUCGGAAUUACUGGGCGUAAAGCGCACGUAGGUGGCGACGUAAGUCGGGUGUGAAAGCCCCGGGCUCAACCUGGGAAUUGCAUUCGAGACUGCAUUGCUGGAGUACGGAAGAGGAAGGCGGAAUUCCCGGUGUAGCGGUGAAAUGCGUAGAUAUCGGGAGGAACAUCAGUGGCGAAGGCGGCCUUCUGGUCCAGUACUGACACUCAAGUGCGAAAGCGUGGGGAGCAAACAGG
rnacentral:rRNA from 1 species